rnacentral:rRNA from 1 species
GACGUGCUAAUCUGCGAUAAGCGUCGGUAAGGUGAUAUGAACCGUUAUAACCGGCGAUUUCCGAAUGGGGAAACCCAGUGUGAUUCGUCACACUAUCAUUAACUGAAUCCAUAGGUUAAUGAGGCGAACCGGGGGAACUGAAACAUCUAAGUACCCCGAGGAAAAGAAAUCAACCGAGAUUCCCCCAGUAGCGGCGAGCGAACGGGGAGCAGCCCAGAGCCUGAAUCAGUGUGUGUGUUAGUGGAAGCGUCUGGAAAGGCGCGCGAUACAGGGUGACAGCCCCGUACACAAAAAUGCACAUGCUGUGAGCUCGAUGAGUAGGGCGGGACACGUGGUAUCCUGUCUGAAUAUGGGGGGACCAUCCUCCAAGGCUAAAUACUCCUGACUGACCGAUAGUGAACCAGUACCGUGAGGGAAAGGCGAAAAGAACCCCGGCGAGGGGAGUGAAAAAGAACCUGAAACCGUGUACGUACAAGCAGUGGGAGCACGCUUAGGCGUGUGACUGCGUACCUUUUGUAUAAUGGGUCAGCGACUUAUAUUCUGUAGCAAGGUUAACCGAAUAGGGGAGCCGAAGGGAAACCGAGUCUUAACUGGGCGUUAAGUUGCAGGGUAUAGACCCGAAACCCGGUGAUCUAGCCAUGGGCAGGUUGAAGGUUGGGUAACACUAACUGGAGGACCGAACCGACUAAUGUUGAAAAAUUAGCGGAUGACUUGUGGCUGGGGGUGAAAGGCCAAUCAAACCGGGAGAUAGCUGGUUCUCCCCGAAAGCUAUUUAGGUAGCGCCUCGUGAAUUCAUCUCCGGGGGUAGAGCACUGUUUCGGCAAGGGGGUCAUCCCGACUUACCAACCCGAUGCAAACUACGAAUACCGGAGAAUGUUAUCACGGGAGACACACGGCGGGUGCUAACGUCCGUCGUGAAGAGGGAAACAACCCAGACCGCCAGCUAAGGUCCCAAAGUCAUGGUUAAGUGGGAAACGAUGUGGGAAGGCCCAGACAGCCAGGAUGUUGGCUUAGAAGCAGCCAUCAUUUAAAGAAAGCGUAAUAGCUCACUGGUCGAGUCGGCCUGCGCGGAAGAUGUAACGGGGCUAAACCAUGCACCGAAGCUGCGGCAGCGACGCUUAUGCGUUGUUGGGUA